UACGGUAGGGUGCGAGCGUUGUCCGGAAUUAUUGGGCGUAAAGAGCUUGUAGGCGGUUUGUCGCGUCUGCCGUGAAAAAUCCGGGGCUCAACCCCGGACUUGCGGUGGGUACGGGCAGACUAGAGUGUGGUAGGGGAGACUGGAAUUCCUGGUGUAGCGGUGAAAUGCGCAGAUAUCAGGAGGAACACCGAUGGCGAAGGCAGGUCUCUGGGCCACUACUGACGCUGAGAAGCGAAAGCGUGGGGAGCGAACAGG
rnacentral:rRNA from 1 species